UCAGGAUGAACGCUGGCGGCAUGCCUAAUACAUGCAAGUCGAACGAGAGGAAGGAAAGCUUGUUUUCUGAAUCUAGUGGCGAACGGGUGAGUAACACGUAGGUAACCUGCCCAUGUGCCCGGGAUAACUUCUGGAAACGGAUGCUAAAACCGGAUAGGUAGCAGACAAGCAUUUGACUGCUAUUAAAGUGGCUAAGGCCAUGAACAUGGAUGGACCUGCGGUGCAUUAGCUAGUUGGUGAGGUAACGGCCCACCAAGGCGACGAUGCAUAGCCGGCCUGAGAGGGCGGACGGCCACAUUGGGACUGAGACACGGCCCAAACUCCUACGGGAGGCAGCAGUAGGGAAUUUUCGUCAAUGGGGGGAACCCUGAACGAGCAAUGCCGCGUGAGUGAGGAAGGUCUUCGGAUCGUAAAGCCCUGUUGUAAGAGAAAAACGACAUUCAUAGGGAAUGAUGAGUGAGUGAUGGUAUCUUACCAGAAAGUCACGGCUAACUACGUG
rnacentral:rRNA from 1 species